CAAAAAUAGAGGACAAGCCAUCACUUUCCAUGGUUUUCGAAGAGAUACUUGAACGCCUAAAAGAUAAGCGUGUAACAAGAAUAGGACUUUGGGGCCAGGUGGGUGCUGGGAAAACAACAAUCAUGCAAAAUUUGCGUGAAAGUGAAGAAAUUUCUGAAUUGUUUGAUAUAGUCUUUUAUGUAACUCUAGCUGACGAAGGGAAUGAAGAAAGGUUGCAAGAAAGGGUUCAGCAUCAAAUAGCAGAAGAGCUACAAUUGGAUUUACUACAAGGCAGUACUGACGCUGCUUCAAAAAUAUCCAAGAGGUUGGAGAGCAUGAGAUUUUUACUUCUUUUGGAUGAUGUCUGGGGCACAUUUGAUCUCGAUGAUUGCGGCAUCUAUGAAAAUGAAAAGGAUAGCAAGAUAGUAAUUGCCUCUAGACAUUGUGGCAAUUGUCGUGAGAUGUGUGUUGAUCAUCUAAUUAGGGUGCCACGGCUCUCAAAUGAUGAAGCUUUGAAUCUUUUUCAGGAAAGAUUAGGUCGAAAGUUGUAUUCUGAGUUUGAAUCACUAGCCUGCCAAGUCAUUGAGCAGUGUGAUAAUUUGCCCCUUUUAAUAGACAAGGUUGCAAGAGCCUUCAGAAGGAAAGACGAUAUUCUUCUAUGGGAGUCUGGGCUGAAUAAAUUGCGAAUAUGGCCUGGUACCAAAUGUGAUGGAAUGGAUGAUGCGUUUGAUUUAUUAAGAUUCUGUUAUGAAGAAUUAGAUGAAGAUGGAAAAGUUUGCUUUCUUUAUGGUGCCUUAUAUGCUGAAGCAUAUGAAAUAUGUAUAAAUUAUUUGCUAGAAUGUUGGAGAGCUGAAGAUUUCACUCAAGAUGUGGAGGAGUUCACUGCAAUUCAGAAAGGUCAAGAGAUAUUGCAUGAUCUUUUGGAUGCAUCUUUGCUAGAAAACGGUGAAAAGGUAAAACAUGUAAGGAUGAAUAAAGUGCUACGGAAAAUGGCCUUUAAAAUCUUAGAAAGUGACGAUUCAAAAUGUUUGGUGAAACCUGGCAAGGGGCUCCAAAAGGCCCCCGAAAGUAAAGAAUGGGAACAAAAACUAAGGAUUUCUUUGAUGGAUAACAAAUUUAGCAGUUUACCGGACAAGCCAGAUUGCAACAAUCUCUCAACACUUUUACUCCAGAGAAAUAUUGAUUUGGCAGUGAUUCCUCGCCGAUUCUUUGAAUCUAUGCAAAGUCUUCGGGUUUUGGACUUACAUAGCACUAAUAUUGCUGAAUUACCAUCUUCGAUUUCAUGCUUGGUAUGUCUCAGGGCUCUUUAUUUAAAUUCUUGCAGGAGAUUGUCGAAGCUUCCAGGCAAAAUAAAGGCACUUAAGCAUCUUGAGGUGCUUGAUAUUCGAGGUACUGGGAUUAAUUCUUUGCCGGUUGAAAUAAGAUAUUUAAGCCAAUUGCAGCGCUUCAGGAUGUCAUUGUCAAAGAUAGAUGGAAAAUCAAGGAAAAUCAGAACAAAUCACAAUAUAAUUUUAGAGCUUUCUUUGUUGGAAGAGUUAGUCAUCGACAUUCAUCCAGAAAAUGAGUGGUGGAAGCAGGUUGUGAGAGAUAUAACUCAAAAUGUGGCUGUCCUGAAAAAAUUGACCUACCUUUCAUUCUCCAUAGGUGAAUAUCAUUCAACCAGGUACAAAAUUCUUGAUUGCUUCAGACAUAGGAUUUGCCGGCGUGUAAAAUAUGCGAAUGGUGAUGGCAAUCUUCCAUUGCCAGAGGUACUUGCUGAAGCUGAUGCAUUUGAACUAAUUGGAUGCAAGGGAGUUUUGAAGUUAUCGGACUUUGGCAUUGACAAUAUGACCAAGAUUAAGAGCUGUUUGAUUGAAAGUUGUAAUGAAAUGGAGACUGUUGUUGAUAGCAAUGGAAUAACAAAUGCAGUGUUUGAGUGCUUGGAGAAGAUGUACCUAAGCAAUAUCCCCAACUUGCAAAGCAUUUGGGAGGGUUUGGUACCUCAAGGAAGCCUUGCCCGACUAAAUACUUUAGUUUUCUUCAAAUGUUCAAAGCUGAAGAAGAUUUUCUCUAGCAGCUUAGUUCAGCAAUUCUCUGAUCUCCAGCACUUGGAAAUUGAAGCUUGUCAUCAAAUUGAAGAGGUUACCCUGGAAGCAGAGAACAAUGGGAUGAAUGCUCCUGUACUUCCAAGUCUAAAGUCAAUAGUACUUGUUGGUCUUCCAAGUUUAACAAACAUUUGGAUUGAUGAUUCACUGGAUUGGGCCUCCCUAGACAAAACGAUUUCCAUGUGUCCACUAUUGGAUAGUCAUCCUUCUUGGCGAACAGUACUGUGACAAGAAUGAAGAAGCUGCCUUCAAACAGAGAUUUUGCCCUGGUUGUAUCUUGAGCUAGCAUUUCUAAUUUUCAUUCUGGAUAAUAUUUGGUUUUGUAAUGUAUGGUAUUUAAACUAUAAGUACUUCUUUUGAACUUUCCAAAACAGAGGUUUGUAUUUUCAUUUUGUUUUUGAAAAUACAAACCUCUGUUUUGGAAAGUUCAAAAGAAGUACUUAUAGUUUAAAUACCAUACAUU
rnacentral:misc_RNA from 1 species